rnacentral:rRNA from 1 species
AUUGAACGCUGGCGGCAUGCUUUACACAUGCAAGUCGAGCGGUAACAGGCCUUCGGGUGCUGACGAGUGGCGAACGGGUGAGUAAUGCAUCGGAACGUACCCAGAGGUGGGGGAUAACGCAGCGAAAGCUGUGCUAAUACCGCAUGUGAUCUGAGGAUGAAAGCGGGGGACCGAGCAGCAAUGUUUGGCCUCGCGCCUUUGGAGCGGCCGAUGUCGGAUUAGCUAGUUGGUGGGGUAAAGGCCUACCAAGGCGACGAUCCGUAGCUGGUCUGAGAGGACGACCAGCCACACUGGGACCGAGACACGGCCCAGACUCCUACGGGAGGCAGCAGUGGGGAAUUUUGGACAAUGGGCGCAAGCCUGAUCCAGCAAUGCCGCGUGCGGGAAGAAGGCCUUCGGGUUGUAAACCGCUUUUGGCAGGAACGAAACGGUGUCCGCUAAUACCGGGCGCUAAUGACGGUACCUGCAGAAUAAGCACCGGCUAACUACGUG